AAUUGGCUUACUUAGGAUGAACAUGGAUCAACAAUGGGGCAGGGAAUAGAAGAUACAAAUGGCCCAGGAAGUUACUAUGCUGACAUACACUUUCUUCCAUUCCAAAAACGCUGAUCAAUAAUGCAGAUGUAUGAGGAGAAAUGCCCUAUCUAUGAGGAUUGCUAUGCUAUGAAAUUGGUCUUCGGAGGAUUGAAAAGAACAGGAUUUGAACCCAGGCUGCAAAUCAGGAUCACAGGACGAGGUUUUUAAAAGUCUCUAUGCUGGACACCACCCCCCGAGAUUCUCAUUUAAUUGUUCUGAAGAAAGGCCUGGCAUCAGUAGUUUUUCAAAACCUUCAUCCAGAUGAUUAUAACAUGCAGUCACGGCUGAGAACCCUUGGUACAAAAUCAAUUUUAACCCCACCGCCAUGUCAUUAAAACAAGUUUUGACGGACAAUGAAGGGACCCAGGGCAGGCUUCUCUCCUUCACCUGAACACUACGUGGCACCUGAGCCUUGGUACAAGGAGAGGCCUUUUGUGCAUGUCCUCCUCCUUGGAGAGUCCAGACGAAUUUGGGAGAAAAGGAAGAGAACUUCUCGUAAAUCCAGUGAUCCUUCACACAUCCGAAACAAACAACCGCUAGCCUAGUAUGCUGAAAGCUGUGACCACAGAUUUUCCCCUGACUGUUUGCCCCCAUCCCGAUCACACACAGAUCUACCUGUGUCAGCAUGGCUCGUUCUCUUCCCUUUCCCCCUCUCCAAGUUCGCUCUAUGUGAAUACAGGUUUGGAAAAGAAUAAAAGCAGAACACUCAGCCUGC